GGAGUUAGCCGGUGCUUCUUCUGCGAGUAACGUCACAGAUGUAAGGUAUUAACUUACACCCUUUCCUCCUCGCUGAAAGUGCUUUACAACCCGAAGGCCUUCUUCACACACGCGGCAUGGCUGCAUCAGGGUUUCCCCCAUUGUGCAAUAUUCCCCACUGCUGCCUCCCGUAGGAGUCUGGGCCGUGUCUCAGUCCCAGUGUGGCUGAUCAUCCUCUCAGACCAGCUAGGGAUCGUCGCCUAGGUGAGCCUUUACCUCACCUACUAGCUAAUCCCACCUGGGCUUAUCCAUCAGCGCAAGGCCCGAAGGUCCCCUGCUUUCCCCCGUAGGGCGUAUGCGGUAUUAGCAGUCGUUUCCAACUGUUAUCCCCCACAAAUGGGCAAAUUCCCAGGCAUUACUCACCCGUCCGCCGCUCGUCAUCUUCAAACGCAAGCUUUUGAAAUGUUACCGCUCGACUUGCAUGUGUUAGGCCUGCCGCCAGCGUUCAAUCUGAGCCAUAAUCAAACUCUGA
rnacentral:rRNA from 1 species